AGAGUUUGAUCAUGGCUCAGGACGAACGCUGGCGGCGUGCCUAACACAUGCAAGUCGAGCGGAGAAAUCAGCAAUGGUUUCUUAGCGGCGGACGGGUGAGUAACGCGUGGGCAACCUGCCUUCUACAGGGGGAUAACACAGGGAAACUUGUGCUAAUACCGCAUAACACAGUUGAUUGGCAUCAAUCGAUUGUCAAAGGA
rnacentral:rRNA from 1 species